GCCAGUAUGGUGUAGUGGUUUGAGUGUUAGUCUACAAAUCUGAAGAUCAGGGUUCAAUAUCCUGGGUGACC
rnacentral:tRNA from 1 species